UAUGAGAGUUUGAUCCUGGCUCAGGACGAACGCUGGCGGCGUGCCUAAUACAUGCAAGUCGAACGCUUCUUUUUCCACCGGAGCUUGCUCCACCGGAAAAAGAGGAGUGGCGAACGGGUGAGUAACACGUGGGUAACCUGCCCAUCAGAAGGGGAUAACACUUGGAAACAGGUGCUAAUACCGUAUAACAAUCAAAACCGCAUGGUUUUGAUUUGAAAGGCGCUUUCGGGUGUCGCUGAUGGAUGGACCCGCGGUGCAUUAGCUAGUUGGUGAGGUAACGGCUCACCAAGGCCACGAUGCAUAGCCGACCUGAGAGGGUGAUCGGCCACAUUGGGACUGAGACACGGCCCAAACUCCUACGGGAGGCAGCAGUAGGGAAUCUUCGGCAAUGGACGAAAGUCUGACCGAGCAACGCCGCGUGAGUGAAGAAGGUUUUCGGAUCGUAAAACUCUGUUGUUAGAGAAGAACAAGGAUGAGAGUAACUGUUCAUCCCUUGACGGUAUCUAACCAGAAAGCCACGGCUAACUACGUGCCAGCAGCCGCGGUAAUACGUAGGUGGCAAGCGUUGUCCGGAUUUAUUGGGCGUAAAGCGAGCGCAGGCGGUUUCUUAAGUCUGAUGUGAAAGCCCCCGGCUCAACCGGGGAGGGUCAUUGGAAACUGGGAGACUUGAGUGCAGAAGAGGAGAGUGGAAUUCCAUGUGUAGCGGUGAAAUGCGUAGAUAUAUGGAGGAACACCAGUGGCGAAGGCGGCUCUCUGGUCUGUAACUGACGCUGAGGCUCGAAAGCGUGGGGAGCAAACAGGAUUAGAUACCCUGGUAGUCCACGCCGUAAACGAUGAGUGCUAAGUGUUGGAGGGUUUCCGCCCUUCAGUGCUGCAGCUAACGCAUUAAGCACUCCGCCUGGGGAGUACGACCGCAAGGUUGAAACUCAAAGGAAUUGACGGGGGCCCGCACAAGCGGUGGAGCAUGUGGUUUAAUUCGAAGCAACGCGAAGAACCUUACCAGGUCUUGACAUCCUUUGACCAUUAAAUGAUUAUCGCCAAAAAUGCGAAAUGAAAUUGAUCUGGGUGCAUGGUUGUCGUCAGCUCGUGUCGUGAGAUGUUGGGUUAAGUCCCGCAACGAGCGCAACCCUUAUUGUUAGUUGCCAUCAUUCAGUUGGGCACUCUAGCAAGACUGCCGGUGACAAACCGGAGGAAGGUGGGGAUGACGUCAAAUCAUCAUGCCCCUUAUGACCUGGGCUACACACGUGCUACAAUGGGAAGUACAACGAGUUGCGAAGUCGCGAGGCUAAGCUAAUCUCUUAAAGCUUCUCUCAGUUCGGAUUGCAGGCUGCAACUCGCCUGCAUGAAGCCGGAAUCGCUAGUAAUCGCGGAUCAGCACGCCGCGGUGAAUACGUUCCCGGGCCUUGUACACACCGCCCGUCACACCACGAGAGUUUGUAACACCCGAAGUCGGUGAGGUAACCUUUUGGAGCCAGCCGCCUAAGGUGGGAUAGAUGAUUGGGGUGAAGUCGUAACAAGGUAGCCGUAUCGGAAGGUGCGGCUGGAUCACCUCCUUU
rnacentral:rRNA from 1 species